GAUGAACGCUGGCGGCGUGCCUAACACAUGCAAGUCGAGCGGACGGACGAGAAGCUUGCUUCGUUGUUGUUAGCGGCGGACGGGUGUGUAACGCGUGUAUAACCUACCUAUAAGUCGGGUAUAAUUUCGGGAAUCCGGAGCUAAUACCGGAUAAUAUUCUGAAGCGUGGGGUGCAAAAGUGAGAUUCGGUCUUGCUGGCUCUAAUAGCUGGAUCCCCGCUGCAUGAGCUAGUAGGUACGGUAACAGCUUACCAAGGCAACGAUGCAUGGCCGAACGGAGAGGCUGGUCGCCCACCCUAGAACGGGGCCGCCGUCCAGAGUCCUACGGGAGGCAGCAGUAUGGAAUCUUCCGCAAUGGGCGAGAGCCUGACACAGCGACCCCGCGUGUGUGGUGACGGCCUUCGGUUCGUAAAGCUCUGUUAUUAGGGGAAAACAGCUGUCUCAGUAACCGUGCCCAUCUUGACGGUACCUAGUCAAAAAGCCACGGCUAACUACGUG
rnacentral:rRNA from 1 species